rnacentral:rRNA from 1 species
CGUGUAGGCGGUGCGGUAAGUUGGGCGUGAAAUCCCCGAGCUUAACUCGGGUGGGCCGUUCAAGACUGCCGUGCUAGGGUGCGGGAGAGGGAAGUGGAAUUUCCGGUGCAGCGGUGAAAUGCGUAGAUAUCGGGAGGAACACCUGCGGCGAAGGCGGCUUCCUGGACCGUAACCGACGCUGAGGCGCGAAAGCUAGGGGAGCAAACAGGAUUAGAUACCCUGGUAGUCCUAGCCCUAAACGAUGAGCACUGGGUGUGGCCCCUCACGGGGCCGUGCCGAAGCUAACGCAUUAAGUGCUCCGCCUGGGGAGUACGGUCGCAAGGCUGAA